rnacentral:misc_RNA from 1 species
CUCUGCAUAUUUGGCCUUCUUCUUUUCAACUUUUUCCUCAUACUUCUUUAUUUGUGUCUCCACGUAUGCUUUCUUGGUGGUCUCCCAUGAUGCAACAGCCAAAAUAUUUUUGUGAGUUUUGUUCUCCACUUUAGCCUUCUCAUUUUCUUCCCAUGCCUUGAUUAAGGCAUAUCUUUUCUCUGAUUCAACCUUUUCAAGCUCUGCAUCUCUGUCAGUUGAAGUCAUUUCAGUUGUAGGAUCUCCAGUCUCUGGCUUUUCUGAAACUGGGGAAACUGAUUCUUUC